rnacentral:lncRNA from 1 species
ACACCGCUGCCACAUCUGGUGAGGGGGGCGGGUCCGCUUUCCGGGUGACUCACAUCCUCGCUAUUUGCCUUUUGUUUCUAGGAUGCCUUGGCUGCUGUUUUCGUCCCUCUGCUUUUAAUUUGGGGAGAAGAAAAGUAAUGAAUCAAGAAUGAAUCUCUUCUCCACCAAUCCCUUUUUUCCCCUUUCUUUUCCUUCUCCCUCAAGUUGGCUCUCUCCCUUCCCAAGUCCCGAAACCAGGCAAGAAGCGCGGGGGCGGGACAGGUGGGGACGCACUAAUUGCACCUAAACCUGAAGUUGGCAGUCCAAGGCAUCACUUGGCUGGGAAGACUUUCUGAAACUCCCUUGCGGACUGCUGGGGUUUUUUGCUGCUGCCGCUGUGCAUUUUCAGCUCGUUUCUCUAUGCUGCGGCUUCGCGCUGCUUGGUCACGCCAAAAUCUAUCUGGUUCUGCCGUAAGUGCCAGAAUCUGGGCGAAUUCCACGAGAUUCACCAGCGGUUUUGUUCCUGUCCAAGGCUUGCCCUCCCCCGCCCCCCGGGUUGGUUUUUCCCAGCCGCGGAGGUUGGGCCAGGGGCUGGGGUGCGAGGAGCGUCGGCUCCGGCAGCGUGGAGCGGGGAAGUCGCCGCGACUCUGGUGGGACUCGGAGUUGUCCCUGGAGGUGAGCUGUGGGGAGCAGGCGGAGAAGGCGAGAACUGGGAGGCGGCUUCCAGCCCCUCCCCAUCCUCAGGCGGGAGAGCCGCGCAGGUCCUGGGUCCCACCGCGGCUUUGUUCGCGGCCUCUCCCCUCCCCUUUGGAGAGGACUUGAAGGCCCUCCGAUCCGAGGGGCGGGUGGGCGUGCGGGCUCAGGGGUGGCGGCAGCCCUAAGGUACCCCACUUCUUAAGCCGAGAGGGCAUCUAAAAGAGAUCAAAAGACUCCUGUAAGCUGAAACUUCCCUCUCAUCCUAACGUGGACCCGGAGGAGAGGUCCUGCAGAACAGGCGGGGGCGGAGACCCCGGAAGGCAGGUCUUCCGCGGAGGCGGUGGGGGAAGGAGCUGGGAGAGUGAGAAGUUUGGUCGGGAGGCGCC